UAAACUACGAUUAGAUACCCUAUUAUUCUAUAUGUUAAUAUUUACCUGGGUAGUAUUAGUUAUGUUCUUUAAACCCUAAGAAUUUGGCGGUAUUUUAGUCUAAUCAGAGGAAUUUGACCUGUAAUCGAUAAUCCCCGUUUUAUCUGACUUAAUCUUGUUUUCAAUAUGUAUACCGCCGUUAUAAGUUUAUUUUUUUAGAAUUUAAUUUACUGAUAAUUUUACUUUCUUUUAUUUCAGGUCAAGGUGCAGUUGAUGGUUAAGUAGUGUUGAGUUACAUUAUUAUUUGAAUAUAUGGAUUUAUUAUUGAAAUAUUUUUAUUGAAAGUGGAUUUGAUAGUAAUUUUAUUAAUUAUGGUAUUUUGAUCUUGGCUCUAAGAUAAGUACACAUCG
rnacentral:rRNA from 1 species